UCCUUUUAGGUGACCUAUAGAAUACUCAAGCUAUGCAUCCAACGCGUUGGGAGCUCUCCCAUAUGGUCGACCUGCAGGCGGCCGCGAAUUCACUAGUGAUUAGAGUUUGAUCAUGGCUCAGAACGAACGCUGGCGGCAGGGUUAACACAUGCAAGUCGAACGCGAAAGCUUCCUUCGGGAAGCGAGUAGAGUGGCAAACGGGUGAGUAACGCGUGGGAAUCUACCCAGUGGUGGGGGAUAACUUCGGGAAACCGGAGCUAAUACCGCAUAAGCCCUUCGGGGGAAAGAUUUAUCGCCAUUGGAGGAGCCCGCGUCGGAUUAGCUGGUUGGUGAGGUAACGGCUCACCAAGGGGACGAUCCGUAGCUGGUCUGAGAGGAUGAUCAGCCACACUGGGACUGAGACACGGCCCAGACUCUUACGGGAGGCAGCAGUGGGGAAUAUUGGACAAUGGGCGAAAGCCUGAUCCAGCCAUGCCGCGUGAGUGAAGAAGGCCUUAGGGUUGUAAAGCUCUUUCAGUGGGGAAGAUAAUGACGGUACCCACAGAAGAAGCCUCGGCUAACUCCGUGCCAGCAGCCGCGGUAAUACGGAGGGGGCUAGCGUUGUUCGGAAUUACUGGGCGUAAAGCGCACGUAGGCGGAUCAUUAAGUCAGGGGUGAAAGCCCCGGAGCUCAACUCCGGAACUGCCCCUUGAUACUGGUGAUCUAGAGUCCGGAAGAGGUGAGUGGAAUUCCCUAGUGUAGAGGUGAAAUUCGUAGAUAUUAGGAGGAACACCAGUGGCGAAGGCGGCUCACUGGUCCGGUACUGACGCUGAGGUGCGAAAGCGUGGGGAGCAAACAGGAUUAGAUACCCUGGUAGUCCACGCUGUAAACGAUGGAUGCUAGCUGUCGGGCGGCUUGCUGUUCGGUGGCGCAGCUAACGUAUUAAGUAUCCUGUCUGGGGAGUACGGUCGCAAGACUAAAACUCAAAGGAAUUGACGGGGUCCGCACAAGUGGUGGAGUAUGUGGUUUAAUUUCGAAGCAAUGCGCAGAAUUUUAUUGCUCUUGACAUCUCGGUUCGCGGAGAACUAGAGAUGAUUCUUUUCAGUUCGCCUGAACUGUUGAACAGUGCCUGCAUGGACUGUCGUCAGCUCUGAUCUGGAUGGUAGAUAAGUACUCGCCACCAAG
rnacentral:rRNA from 1 species